rnacentral:piRNA from 1 species
GGGCACCUGGGUUCAGCUGAAGC